AUACGGAGGACGCGAGUGUUAUCCGGAUUCAUUGGGUUUAAAGGGUGCGUAGGCGGAUGAUUAAGCGUGAGGUGAAAUGCCACUGCUCAACAGUGGAACUGCCUCGCGAACUGGUUGUCUUGAAUGCUCCUGCCGUGGGAGGAAUGUGUGGUGUAGCGGUGAAAUGCAUAGAGAUCACACAGAACACCGAUUGCGAAGGCAUCUCACGAAGGGGUGAUUGACGCUGAGGCACGAAAGCGUGGGGAUCAAACAGGAUUAGAUACCCUGGUAGUCCACGCAGUAAACGAUGAUAACUAACCGCUGGGUCGUAGUGAUUCAGUGGCCAAGCGAAAGCGAUAAGUUAUCCACCUGGGGAGUACGACCGCAAGGUUGAAACUCAAAGGAAUUGACGGGG
rnacentral:rRNA from 1 species